UCCAUUACUACAAAAUGGAUCAUACAUAAGUUAAUAAAAUAAUAAUGUGUAAUAAAAAUAAAAUUCAGUAAAAUGUGUAUUUUUUCUUUUUGUUUUAUAUUGUAUGAUCCAUUCAUUUUGUUCCAUUACUACAAAAUGUAUCAUACAUAAUUCAAUAUAAUAAUAAUGUGCAAUAAAAGUAAAAUUCAAUAAAAUGUUGUGCAUCUAUUAUUUCUUUAUAAAAUGAAAGAAACUUUUGGGACAGCCUAGUAGAAUCGAUUGUUAUAUUCUUCUUUAAUUAUAUAACUACCUCUUUUUCUUUUAAUCUUAGUUAUACUUUAUCUACGUAGUCAAACAAUUGUGUUACAUUGUGAUCAAAAGUUUAAUAUUAUUUCUAUCUCAGUUCGACUUUAAAUAGUAUAAUUAGUUUCCUUGACGUAAUUUAAACAUAACUAUAGAAUAACUCGCGCGUGGAUAUUCAAGUUCAUUUAAAAUUCGCUUUCUUUAUUUAAUCUAUCUACAUAUAUAUCUAUUUAUACAUUAUUCUGGCGUUUGUUCGAAUUAAUCUUCAGAACCUUCUUUUAAGUUUCUCCAGCUUCGUGAGAAACUGGAUGGAUUUUGAUGCAUUUUCAUUAUUUUAAAGAGCGUUUCACGAGUAAGGUUUAGAUGUUUGACUUUAAAGAAAGAUUCUAAAGUAUGAAUCACUCGCGACAUGAGCGUUAGAGGGUCGAGCCAAAAGCAACCAAAAAUACAAACAGUAGACAAUUUGCGGAUAUUCGCACGAGAGACCUUCUUCGCUUCGAUCGUGUUUUGUUUAUAAUCGCUGCCACGAUAUAGCUACAAGACACGACCUUCUCUUCCAAGCAAUGUCUUUCUCUUUUCGGCGUGCGUCAUGUCACAAGCUUCACGACUCCGCUGCGUGAUAGCCGGGCGCUGUCUCACAGGUCGCAGAACGUUUACCGAGCCAAUAGAAGUUCACAAAACAUUAUUAUCGUCAGUCAUAUUAUUAACACAUUGGUCGUCCAGCGUGAUUCGGUUAAGUUUCCUGCGGGGUCCAAUUCGACCGUCGGUACGUAGGACGUAAAUAGAGCGACCAGCGGGAAUUCAUUGUUUAUCGCCUUCGAUUCAUUGUAAAGAAAAGAUUAUUUAGUUCUGAAAUGGAGAAAGCGAUAAGUUUUCCAGAUGUUUGUUAAACCCAAGAUACAAUUUUUAAAUACAUUUUGGUAUUCACAAUAAACGGUGAAUUUUUGUAGUGAUGUUUUAGGCAAAAGUACCGAUACGCAGAUAAGCAUACUUGUGAGACGUACAUAAGUGAUUUUUUUAUCCUCAAAAUGUUCAGUGAACAGACGAUGACGAAGUCUACAACUAUUGUUCGAAGUUCCCAAAAUCACCCCAAGUGUGUUUCGAAUGUUUUAACAAUUACCAUGCGAUACAGCAUAAUGUAAUAUUUUAUCUAGAAUAUAAAUUAAUAAAAAGUAUGGUAUAAUAUA